rnacentral:piRNA from 1 species
UUUGAUGUUUAGACCCCUCGGGAAGUUCCU